AGGAGUUUGAUCUUGGCUCAGAGCGAACGUUAGCGGCGGGCUUAACACAUGCAAGUCGAACGAGAAAGCGUCCUUCGGGGCGUUAGUAAAGUGGCGAACGGGUGAGGAACACGUGGAUAACCUGCCCUUCGGCGCGGGACAACAGCUCGAAAGGGCUGCUAAUACCGCAUAAGUCGGCACCGACUAUGGUCGGAGUCGGGAAAGGGCGGCAUCUUCGGAUGCUGUCGCCGGAGGAGGGGUCCGCGCCCCAUCAGCUUGUUGGUGAGGUAAUGGCUCACCAAGGCUUAGACGGGUAGCUGGUCUGAGAGGAUGAUCAGCCACACUGGGACUGAGACACGGCCCAGACUCCUACGGGAGGCAGCAGUGGGGAAUAUUGGACAAUGGGCGAAAGCCUGAUCCAGCCACGCCGCGUGUGUGAUGAAGGUCUUCGGAUCGUAAAGCACUGUGGGGAGGGACGAACAAGCAGUGGGUUAAUACCCCAUUGCCCUGACGGUACCUCCUUAGCAAGCACCGGCUAACUCCGUGCCAGCAGCCGCGGUAAUACGGAGGGUGCUAACGUUGCUCGGAAUCAUUGGGCGUAAAGCGCGUGUAGGCGGUCUGUUAAGUCGAGUGUGAAAGCCCUGGGCUCAACCCAGGAAGUGCGCUCGAUACUGGCAGACUAGAGUACGGGAGAGGGUAGCGGAAUUCCCGGUGUAGAGG
rnacentral:rRNA from 1 species